UGGCAAAGUGUCUGAAGCAAGCGGCUGA
rnacentral:piRNA from 1 species